rnacentral:rRNA from 1 species
AUUGAACGCUGGCGGCAUGCCUUACACAUGCAAGUCGAACGGCAGCACGGGAGCAAUCCUGGUGGCGAGUGGCGAACGGGUGAGUAAAGUAUCGGAACGUGCCCAGUCGUGGGGGAUAAGGUAGCGAAAGUUACGCUAAUACCGCAUACGAUCUAUGAAUGAAAGCGGGGGAUCGCAAGACCUCGCGCGAUUGGAGCGGCCGAUAUCAGGUUAGGUAGUUGGGGGGGUAAAGGCUCACCAAGCCGACGAGCUGUAGAGGGUCUGAGAGGACGACCAGCCACACUGGGACUGAGACACGGCCCAGACUCCUACGGGAGGCAGCAGUGGGUAAUUUUGGACAAUGGGCGCAAGCCUGAUCCAGCCAUGCCGCGUGCAGGAUGAAGGCCUUCGGGUUGUAAACUGCUUUUGUACGGAACGAAAAGGUUUGACUUAAUACGUUGGACUCAUGACGGUACCGUAAGAAUAAGCACCGGCUAACUACGUGCCAGCCGCCGCCGUAA